rnacentral:misc_RNA from 1 species
UUUGGUCAGUUACAUACUAUGAAUACUUUGUGGACAUCAUAAUUUGACACCUGCCUCUGCACUGUAUGGAUUCCAUCCUGUACGAUUUGCUUUUUGCAUCUAAAACAGAAAGUAAUUUAGCAUUGCUUAAUUGAAGAUUGCUUGCAGCCAUUUCUUGACCACCCAACAAUACUUGUCCAUACUAGCUAGGAUACACGGGAGCUGGUUGAUCGAUAUCAGAAUUUCAUAAACGGCCGAUAUAUAUAUAUAGUUAGAAGAUGGGUGGUUUAUUUUUGAGGACACAAUGCAAGAUGCUUUGAUAGGAUAUGGAAAGAAUUGUUGAUGGAUCUCAUCUUGUUACCCUUAAACCUGUGAACUUGUAUUCACUUAGGGAUUGUUUGCUGAUAUUUUCCUACUGUUUCUCGGGAAAGUGAUAAAGAUCAUGGAUAUUCUCAAGCUGU